GAAUGAAGGAAGCAAGGUAAUGAACACAGAAAUUGAAUCAGUCUCUAGGCCUGCCCUCUCUAAUGCCUUCCAGCUUUGAUUUGGGGGCAUGGUUCCAACGGUAAAACU